GACGAACGCUGGCGGCGUGCCUAACACAUGCAAGUCGAACGAGAUCCAUGGGAGCUUGCUCCCGGAAGAUCUAGUGGCGAACGGGUGAGUAACACGUGAGAAACCUGCCCUGGAGUGGGGAAUAACUCGGGGAAACUCGAGCUAAUACCGCAUACCCUCGGAUGGUCGCAUGGCCGACCGAGGAAAGAUUUAUCGCUCUAGGAGGGUCUCGCGGCCUAUCAGCUAGUUGGUGGGGUAACGGCCUACCAAGGCAACGACGGGUAGCUGGUUUGAGAGAACGAUCAGCCACACUGGGACUGAGACACGGCCCAGACUCCUACGGGAGGCAGCAGUGGGGAAUCUUGCGCAAUGGGCGAAAGCCUGACGCAGCAACGCCGCGUGCGGGAUGACGGCCUUCGUGGUUGUAAACCGCUUUCAGCAGGACGAAAUGACGGUACCUGCAGAGAAGCCCGGCUAACUACGUGCCAGCAGCCGCGGUAAU
rnacentral:rRNA from 1 species